GUCAGAAGUGGUGCUCUCUGGUGACAGCGGUGAUGACAUCAUCAUAGUCCUCAUCCAAUCCCUCCUCAGCCUGGGUGGGGGGGGUUGUCACCGUGGCGACAGGUCCAGGUGAGACCCUUACCUGUGGUCCUGUCUCGAUACAGAGACACCAUGAUGAAGGUGGAGAUGCAGUACGGACAGAACACCACCAGGUGGACCACCAGU